rnacentral:rRNA from 1 species
ACUAAUCUAUUAGUUGUUUUUAAUAUAUAAAUGGAGUUUAAAAAUAAAUAAUAUAAUAAGUAUUAACAAAACAUUUAUCUAUCUUAGUAAAGGUGAUUGAAUAUUGGUAUAUUUUAACUCUGAAAGUACUGCAAAGGAAUAAACAUAAUUAUUUUCUAGGAGAACUAAACUUUCGUACCUUUCGCAUCAUGGCUUAGCAAGAGUUUUUUUCAAAUUAAAUUUCUCGAAACCUAAUGGGCUACCUUAAACCUUUCUUUUAGGAAAAAUAAAGUAACUGUUGCAAAAUUUUUUUAAGAGUUUAAGGUAGAAAUGAAAUUUUAUCCGUAUUAGUUGAUAGCUAGUUUCUCUCUAAAUAUAUAGAAGUAUUCUAAAUUUACAGACUUAUGUAAUAAAUGUUAAAUUGCAUUAGAUGAAAUUUAGGUAAGUUCUCGAGGAUUAGCUCGAGAACUUAAAAUUAAAUAUGGUAUAAAUCUUCUUAAAAAUUUAUGCUUAAAAAUAGCAUUAAUAUAAGAAUUUGUUAUAAUUCAUUAACUUUGUUAAAGAUAUAAUUGAUUUACUUCCUAAAUUGAGAGAAAAACUUAUUAAUUAAUUGUAAGUUAUUAUUAUGCUAAGAUGAGUAUUAAUUACACCUAUUGCAAACAAUUAGAAAUAUAAAAACUAAUUACUCAUAUUUUAUAUAAACAUUAAAUCUUAAGAAGGAACUCGGCAAAUUUCUGUUCUGCCUGUUUAUCAAAAACAUGGCUCUGUGAAAUUAAAUAAUACAGAGUCGGACCUGCCCAGUGAAAAUUUUCAACGGCCGCGGUACUCUGACCGUGCAAAGGUAGCAUAAUCAUUUGCCCUAUAAUUGAGGGCUAGUAUGAAUGGUUUGACAUGAACAGAACUGUCUCCAUAAGAUUAGUUAGAAUUUGAUUUUCAGGUGAAGAAGCCUGAAUAAAAUUGAAAGACAAGAAGACCCUAUCGAGCUUUAAAAAAUUAUUUAGAGAUUAAAAAAUAGCUUUUUGUAUAUAUAACUAAAUAAUAUUUUGGUUGGGGCGACUUAGGAACAAGAAAAGCUUCUUUAGAACUUUAAACACUGAUAAGUUAUGAUCCAGAUUUUCUGAUUAAAAGAAUUAGUUACCGUAGGGAUAACAGCAUUAUCUAUUUUAAGAGCUCUUAUCGAAAAAUAGGUUUGUGACCUCGAUGUUGGAUUAAAGUAUCCGGAAGAUGUAGAAGUCUUCAACGGUUGGUCUGUUCGACCAUUAAAACUUUACAUGAUCUGAGUUCAGACCGGCGUGAGCCAGGUCAGUUUCUAUCUUCAAUUAAUAUUUUAAACUUAGUACGAAAGGACCAGUUUAAAGUAAAAUUUAUUACUUAUAAUGAUUAAAUAUAAUUAUAAAAUGAAAUAAAGGUUUGUCAGAUUAGCAAAGGUAAUGCAAU